rnacentral:miRNA from 1 species
AAGACCCAAGUGAACUCUUUGG